AGAAGAACAGAUCAACCUGCCUUACUCAAAACAAUCUGUGCACAAGCAGUGUCCUCAUCUCAAGAAUGAGUUAGAAAUGCAGAGUCCCAGGCCCCGCCCUAGUCUCCUGAAUCAAAUCUGCUUUUCAGCAAGCUCCCCAUUUGAUUGGCACGUAUGUUGAAGUGUGACACACUGGUAGAAAUGACUGAUACCAUCUCAUUGGUGGAAAACAGGUUUCGAAGAAUCGAGACAUGUGAGAAGGAAAAAGAAAGAUGGCAUGAGGAGGCAAAGCUAGAUCUCUCGUGACUCAGGCAGAUGGAGAAGAAGCAAAGAAAAGGAGAAACAGGGAUGGCCUUAGAGCCAGACAGGCCAAACUUCAAAUCCUGCCUCUGUCACUUGGCACUCACUCUGUAUGCAUUUCAUCAUAGGUGGAGUGGAACUGAAGUUCUUGAACCUUUUUAGGAGAGAAAGACAGUUUUUACUUGGUAAUGGUGAAUGGAAGAGUUCACUGCC
rnacentral:lncRNA from 1 species